rnacentral:rRNA from 1 species
GACGAACGCUGGCGGCGUGCCUAAUACAUGCAAGUCGAACGCAGUGGGGACGGGUGAGUAACACGUGGGUAACCUCCCAUCAGAGGGGAUAACACUUGGAAACAGGUGCUAAACCGAUACUGAUGGAUGGACCCGCGGUGCAUUAGCUAGUUGGAGUGGUAACGGCUCAACAAGGCCACGAUGGCUAGCCGACCUGAGAGGGUGAUCGGCCACACUGGGACUGCGACAGGGCCAUGACUCCUACGGGAGGAAGCAGUGGGGAUUCUUCGGCAAUGGACGAAAGUCUGACCGAGCAACGCCGCUUGAGUAAAGAGGGUUUUCGGAUCGUAAAACUCUGUUGUUAGAGAAGCGGUAUCUAACCAGAAAGCCACGGCUAACUACGUGCCAGCAGCCGCGGUAAUUC